CAAAAAGUUGAGCCACAGCUUACUCUUGUUGAAUCAGAGCUACCCAAGAAGCUUUCUUGGAAGAUUGGGAGCCAACUAAGAACUCAUUUUUAAGGUAAAUGUUACAGAAUAAGAGUAGGAGGAUUUCGUUUUGUAUCUCUCUAUCUCUCACUCGUGUGUUUGUAAGAACCUAAGUUCAACGCAUCGGUGUGAUGACGUUUACGUCUGGGGCCGGAUCAAUCCAGGCAAUAUAUUGAUCAGAGAUGUUUUACAGCUCACUCUCAGAGCAACAACUUUUACAAGCUCUCAAAGGUUUCAGCUCUCCCCAAUGUUGUCUUACUGAAGAAGAUAAGGAUGCAGAGCAUUUAUACUCAGCAUAAAGGAAAGACACCGUCGCAAUCAGAGGCUUCACUUUUCACAUGUGACUGCUUUUCCUAGAGCGCCAAAGUGAGCACUUUGAAUUCCUGAAGUGCUUGCGUUUCAUGAAGUGGUAGCUUCAACCCUCUAGAUAAACUGCUUGUUAUAACCACAAUCACACAUCCUCUUCAAAACCAAACUUCUAUGAACUUGAAUCACAAAAGCUUGAGCUUCAACAGUAAACGACUGAUUAUAAAUGAAAAGAGUUAUGUCCCAAAUGAGACUCAAAAGUUGCUUGUGUUUGACUACUUUAACUUGUAGUUAGUAGUGUGAGCUCCAGGUAUGAGUCCGUUAAAGAUCCCAAUGACUAACCAAGCUCAGUGGCUCAAAGUGUGUAUAUGUGGGAAUUGUAGGUCUGGCUCUGCGUUUGAUGAAGGAGAAGAAGCAGAAAAAUGGUUUUCAGAUUAUUAUUAGUGAUGGGCCUAACUCACACCGAAAAGCUAGUUCAAGAGUGGAGGAAUGCCCAUACACUUAUAUAUUGCCCAAGGACCAUUGUCUCAACCGAUGUAGGACAAUCUAAUAGCCCCUCUCGAGAUGUGGGUGGGAAACGGUCCAACGGAAACAGCCCAAGCCCAACAUCUCGGACAUACCACAGCAAGAUGGGCCAUUUUUAUAGGCUACAUAGGUAGACAACUAUUUAUAUGGGAAAUCAUCUUGCUGGGCUUAACCAUGGGCUCUGAUACCAUAUUAGUGAUAGGCCUAACUCACACCCAAAAGCUAGCUCAAGAGUGGAGGAUUGCCCAUACAUUUAUAUAUUGUCCAAGGACACUUAUCCCAAACGAUGUGGGAUAUUAAUAGCCCCUCUCGAGAUGUGGGUGGGAAACGGUCCAAUCGGAAAUAGCCCAAGCCCAACAUCUCGGACAUACCACAGCAAGAUGGGCCAUUUUUAUAGGCUACAUAGGUAGACAACUAUUUAUAUGGGAAAUCAUCUGCUGGGCUUUCACCAUGGGCUCUGAUACCAUAUUAGUGAUGGGCCUAACUCACACCGAAAAGCUAGUUCAAGAGUGGAGGAUUGCCCAUACACUUAUAUAUUGCCCAAGGACCAUUGUCUCAACCGAUGUAGGACAAUCUAAUAGCCCCUCUCGAGAUGUGGGUGGGAAACGGUCCAACGGAAACAGCCCAAGCCCAACAUCUCGGACAUACCACAGCAAGAUGGGCCAUUUUUAUAGGCUACAUAGGUAGACAACUAUUUAUAUGGGAAAUCAUCUUGCUGGGCUUAACCAUGGGCUCUGAUACCAUAUUAGUGAUAGGCCUAACUCACACCCAAAAGCUAGCUCAAGAGUGGAGGAUUGCCCAUACAUUUAUAUAUUGUCCAAAGACACUUAUCCCAAACGAUGUGGGAUAUUAAUAAUUAUCUUGGAAAACAAAGCCUGUUUGGUUCGGUUUAAUAAAGGUCUUGGCCAUUUUAUUUUGUUCUUGAAUCUUUCAUUUGUAACAGAUUUGAAUGCACAGAGUUCAAGUUAAGUUUUUCUCAAGUUUGAUACAGAAACUGAAACUAGGCCCUUCACCUCCUCAGUUUGCACCAGGUUACACUACAACAUUUGCAAAUACGUUUCCCUUUAUGGUUGCCUCUCAGGUAAGCCAAUUACUUCUGAUAUCUGUAAACUAUAUAAUAUGUAUUUGAUCUUACUCUUUUUGUUGUUUGUUCUUAGGCUUCUUUAGACAAACUGAAUACACUUCUUUCAGAACCAGUGCCUAUGAAACGCUUUAGACCCAAGUGAACUAUAUUUGUUCCUGAGUUUUGUCUUCAAGGAUGGUUGUUUUCUUAAUAAUCUUGAUUUUCUUGUUUAUCUUGUAGUAUUAUUGUGGAAAAUUGUGAUCCUUUUGAAGAAGAUCUUUGAGAUGAAGUCAAGAUAAAUGAUUUAGUCUUCCAAGGAGUUAGGCUGUGUAGCCGCUGCAAGAAACUGGUGUUCCGGAUGCAACUGAACCAAUUGAAACUCUGAUGAAAAAUCAGAUCAAACAGUCGUAAUGCCACACAAGAAACCGCAUGGGAAGGAUAUGGUUUGGAAUUGGCACAUAACCAACAACAACCAAGGUAAAGGCAACAAGACAAUUAAAGUUGGAGAUUCCAUCUCUGUCAUAAGGAAGAUUGAAGCAGCUGUUUAAGUCAUAAAUGUAAACAUAGG